rnacentral:rRNA from 1 species
GGACCUGGUCAGCGCAGCCGCUAUUAACGACUACGGGUUCCUAGGACCUGACAGCGGUUUACAACUCGAAAGCCUUCAUCUCGCACGCGGCGUCGCAGCGUCACGCUUUCGCGCAUUGGCGAAUGAUUCAGCA